GGAUUAGAUACCCUGGUAGUCCACGCCCUAAACGAUGAGAAUUAGAUGUUGGAGGAAAUUUAAUCCUUUAGUAUCAUAGCUAACGCACUAAAUUCUCCGCCUGGGAAGUACGAUCGCAAGGUUAAAACUCAAAUGAAUUGACGGGGGCCCGCACAAGCGGUGGAGCAUGUGGUUUAAUUCGAUGCAACGCGAAGAACCUUACCUGGCCUUGACAUCCUCGGAAUUUCACAGAAAUGAGAAAGUGCCUUUGGGAGCCGAGAGACAGGUGCUGCAUGGCUGUCGUCAGCUCGUGCCG
rnacentral:rRNA from 1 species